GAAAUGCGAUAAGUAAUGUGAAUUGCAGAAUUCAGUGAAUCAUCGAAUCUUUGAACGCACAUUGCGCCCCUUGGUAUUCCGAGGGGCAUGCCUGUUCGAGCGUCAUUACAACCCUCAAGCACUGCUUGGUGUUGGGCCUCGCCGGUCACCCGGCGGGCUCUAAAAUCAGUGGCGGCGCCGUCGGGCUCUGAGCGUAGUAAUUCUUCUCGCUACAGGGUCCCGGCGGAGGCUGGCCAGCAACCCCCAACUUUCUAUGGUUGACCUCGGAUCAGGUAGGGAUACCCGCUGAACUUAA
rnacentral:misc_RNA from 1 species